ensembl:lncRNA
AUUUAUUGGCCCAAGAGCUAGAGUGAUAAAAGUCGUUUAUUACUGAGUUUGGCAGUAAGGAGAUAGGUGAAGGUAGAGAUAAGGAGGGUACAGGACAGAGGGUCCUCCCAUGGCGGCAUGUUUGGAAUCUCUACCAAGAGGCGGUCCUGGGUGGCCCUUUUAUAAUGGGAGACUUAGCUCCAGGGGCUUUGGGGUGUAGCUCCAAAGUUGGCUCAGAUCGGGUGGGGCUGGGACAGGUCCGAUCUUCUAUUGGAAUUCAAAGGGACCAGAAUUUGUGAAUCAAAAGGUAAUUACAUUCACUAGAGGGGUUUGGGAAUCAAAAACAGGAAUCUUUCCCACAUCAGCCCAGAGAUGACCGAUAGGCUUCAGGAGAGGGAAGGCCCCGUGAGACCCCGGGCCCUCCCUGCAGGAUGCCCGGGCCACAGCUUGUGGAGAGGGGCAGCCCAGAGGGGCCCAAAGGGGAGCCCGCGGCCAGGCCGUCUUCUCCAGGAGACUCGUGGACCCUGGGACCCCGGAGCCCUCAGUCGGUGUGGGCCAGGCCCCCAGGGAAAGGGAAAAGAUGGGCCCUGCCUUCAAAGGGAGGUCAGGGGCCCCCUUCCUGUGGAGCCCUUCGCCCGGUGACCCCACUUCUCCCCCUAGUGUCGCCCGUCAAUGCAUCACCGCGAGGCAGCCCAGGAUGAAGAAGGCGAGCAGGACCGCCACCUCAGCGCCCAAGCCGCCGGGGACAGCUAAGAGCAAGCUGGACGGCCCCACGGGGGCCAAGCUCCCCAAGUCCGGCUCAAGCUUGCUGACCAAGGCCAAAAGCAACGAUGACCUCCUGGCUGGCGUGGCUGGAGGGGCCCCAGGGACAAGCAGCAUGAGAGGGAAGAAGCCCUGCCCGGCGGCAACCCCUGCCCCCAGCGUCCUCGCCGCGAGCGCCGCCGAGGGCAAGCCCAAGCCCGGCGCAGGUCCUGGCGCCCUCCCUCCCUCGCGGCCCCGUGGUUGGGGGGCUCCCCUUGGCCUCGGUCUGGGGGGGCUGGUUUGGGGGCCAAGGCCUUUCUCCAGCCUGGGCCUGUGGGGCAGACACAGCUCCCCACUCCCAGAGUCCAUGGCCCCCAGCCUCAGGCUUCCCCAUGGAGGAGGCGGGGCUGACUCAGAGCCAUUGUCUCCCUCUGGGAGCGUGUCUGGUCGUCAGGGAAUUUGCUCUUCUGUCCAGCGCGGCCUGAGAGAACAAGGCCCGUGCCUGGCCCUGGCGGGACAGAGCGUGCACACCCCCUCUUCCCCCCUCCCGCCCCCGCUCCCCGCCCCGGGGUCCAGUUUUGUGCCCCCUGUUGGAGGCUUUGGAGCCCAGAGCCCUCGGGUCGGGAGGAAGCUUGGAGCUUGGCUCUCCUGGGAGCUCACCCCGACUUCUCAGAGGAGGAAGCUGAAGAAGCUGGGGGUGGGGGUGGAGGGGCAUCCGGUCCGGCCUCCCCUGCCCAGCCUGGCCCAGAGCCUCACCCUUGAUCCCCCUCCUGAAAGGCCCUCCGAGGGCCCGCUCUGGGAAGCCCUCCCUGCUCUCGGAGAUGGCAACCGGGGAGUCUCUUCACCCUUUAGGGCUUCCUGAGUUUGCCCCAUUGUCUGGUCGGAGGGGAGUCACCCCCCCCAAAGAGCCGCUCUGCUCCUUCUAGUUAAGGGCACCUGGGGAGCCCGGAACAUGGGGUGAAAGCCCUGUUUUCUCUGUCCCCACAGGGGCCAACUCCAAAAGAAACACGUCCAUAGCAGGGCAAGAGCCCGGCUCGCCGAGGCAGCUUGAGGCAGCUCCA